ACAAAGUCCAAGUUGAUUUUUGAGAAAACGAGUAAAAUUGACAGAAUCCUGGUAGACUGAUCAAGGAAAAAGAUAAAGAGCAUUAAUAAACAUUAGAAACGAAAGGGGCCAUGUUAUAGAUGUUAAGACAUAGACAUAAAAGGUAGAUCACACUAUGAGCAGUUACAUGCCAAUUAAAUUGAAAACUUAGGUGAAAUGGAAAAAUUCCUAGAAAAGUGUAACUUAACAAAACUUCCUCAAGAAGAUAUUGAUGACAACAGCAACAAAACCCUGACUCUCAGCAAAGUAGGUGUAGAGAGAACAUACCUUGGCAUAAUAAAGACCAUAUGUGACAAACCCACAGCUAACAUACUCAGUGGUGAAAAAAAAGGAGAGCUUUUCCUCUAAGAUCGGGAACAAGACAAGGACAGCCACUCUUACCACUUUUAUUCAACAUAGUACUGGAAGCCUUAGCCUUAGCAAUCAGACAAGAAAAACAAGUAAAAGGCACCCAAGUUGGUAAGGA